rnacentral:rRNA from 1 species
CCUACGGGAGGCAGCAGUGGGGAAUAUUGGACAAUGGGCGCAAGCCUGAUCUAGCCAUGCCGCGUGAGCGAUGAAGGCCUUAGGGUUGUAAAGCUCUUUCAGUGGGGAAGAUAAUGACUGUACCCACAGAAGAAGCCCCGGCUAACUUCGUGCCAGCAGCCGCGGUAAU